AAGAAAGAGAAAGAGAGCCAGGGACAACGUCACAUUAGAAAGGGCAAGCCGUGUGGUGUUAUGAGAAAGGACCCAAGAUGCAGGCAAAGGCUGUGAUGCGACCUAAGCACUAUAAUACAGGUAAGCUGUGUGUGUGGAGUACAGUGGAGGGAGCAGGAAGAGUGAGAAGUAGAGGAGGCCGAGGAAGAGGACGUGGAGGUGAAGAAGUAGGAUGAAGAGGACAACAAGGACAAGGAGGAGCAAGAGGAGGACGAGGAGGGGGGAGAGGAAGGGUAAGAAGAGUAAGAAAUAGAAUUGCUGAUGACAUCAGAGCUACAAUAGUGGACCAUGUAAUCAACCAUGGAGUGACCCUGAGGGAAGCUGGCCAACGGGUUCAGCCUAACUUGAGC
ensembl:lncRNA